ensembl:lncRNA
CACCGGCCACGGUCAAAGGCAGCGUCCCUGCUGAUUUCCAGCCACAAGGAGAGAGGCACCUGGACAAAGCAACAGGAUGUGUCUUGAAAACUGUAGCAACUGACCUUUAAAACUCCAGAGGCGAACCGUGCCUAUCUCGAAAUGUUGAGGUCCUCAUGCUCAAACGAUUGUUUCACCGGCCCCAUGGAAAGCCAACAUCAGCAUCCGUGUGCACGCUGGCUUCACCGGCUUGGCUGUUCCAUGGGGAAAUGCACAUCACAAUUACGCGGUUCACCGGCCCCGUGGAAAGACAACAUCAACAUCCGUGUACCCGCUGGCUUUCCCUGGCUCGGCCAUUCUGUGGGGCAGUGAAGCUGGUCGCUGGCUCGAAGCCCCCGGUGUUGGCCACCAGACAGCAGGGCCAGGCACUCCCAAGGGUCAGCUCACCCACCACCAGCUUUCCGGAGGCUGGAGACAGCAGGAGCUUUCUCUUCAGCAAUCCGCAGGCUUCCAUCUGCUCUCUGUCUGGUUUUGGGGAAGGGGAGGUGGUAGGUACCGUAGACACAGUCAGAGAAUUGGACGGUGACCGAGCUGUAACCCUCAGUGACGCCUCACCUUGAGCUCUGCUCCAGCCCCCGCAGGGGAGCAGCCUUCUAGACACUGCUGUUCAGUUCCGGGAGGAUUUUUAGGUCCUCUCUUCGUCCUUUGCCUCAGUCAAGGCAGAGACUCGCUUCUAGACCUCCUGACUACUGUCUUCUAACGACUUCGCUGACGUGUGCUUUACAUUCCAGAAGUCUUGUCCAUGCUAAGUAGUCCUGAACUGGUUGUUUUCUGGCAGCUUGCCAUUGCUUUCUGGGAAGAGGAUUUGCUGAAUUCCUCACGCUGCCGGAGGGAUGUCCUGACACCCGCCCUGAUCACAUUUGAAGGCACAUGGUUUCUGCAAUCUGAGGACCCAGCACUGUGAGUCUGUGGCCCAGAGGGAUUUUGAGAAGACCGGAUUGGAAGGCAGAGCACAACGGCUUGUUUCCAGAAAGUUGCUGUGGAUCCUCAGCCUCCUCCUAUUUUUGAAUCAAAGUCCUGAGAUCUUUAAAAUGCCAGCAACGUGACAAGGUGGGCCAAAAAAGCAAAUGUCUCUGGAUAUCCAACAGCAGUUAGAAUAUUCUGAAUUUCUUCUAAGGUGAGAUGAGUGGAAGGGAUUAGGCACAUGGGGUUGGCGGAGUGGUCUUGGGCCAGACCUUGUAUUUGGAGGGAGAAAGGCCCCACUGUCCAACCUUCCUCUGGGCUGAGGGUGGGACGUGUGUGAAGAGCCCAGCAUGGCAGAGGGAAGCAGCCCGCUUGCUGUGCCCAGGGUUUCCUGCUUCCAAAACUCCCUGUGCGUCCGCUUCAGAGCUGCCUCGAGGGCAGAGGCUCUGGGCUGGGACUACAGCGGCAUCACUCUCUGCUUGAGCAUCUGUGGAGCUGUCUCUUCCUCUCUUUGAGCUUCACAUUCCCCGUUUACAAGACAGGGACCCACAGUGGUGGCCGCCCCCUCCUAGGCAGGACGGGAUGGGGCUGCACAGGCGCAGAGCAGGCUGCAAGCAGCAGGGGAGCUGUGGCUUUGAGAAGAGCCCACAGCGGGGAGGCAAAGAGCUGCGAAGGGUCUCGGCAUCGGAUUUGGGAAACCUGGGAUGGCGACGCUGCCGAUGCCACGCUCGUGUCCCCUCAGCCCCCCGAGUCCACCUGCAGGCAGUUCCCAGCAGGCCAACAGCGUCCCCCUGGAGCACCUGCGUCCUUCCUCCCCAGCUGAGGGCUCUCUCCUGUGCUGCAAGCGCUUCCUCUCCUGCAAGCUGGUGCCAGCCAGCAGUGCAGAAGCAUCAAUGGCCCGGGGUGACCCUCCACCCGUGGGGACAGGGCCAGUCCGGUGGGACCUGGUCUCCCAGCAGGAUUGAGCCCCAUGCCCACUGCAGUGCUGGCUCAUCAAGGCCACGCACCAGCGUCUCUCCUCCAGGCUCCGUUCCCCACAUCCUCCCUGCGGCUCCCCGGAUCAUCUGCAAACACAAGACCUGCCUCUGAGUCCUCAUCUGCUCUGGGGACCCCCCUCUGCGGAGGCCCCGCACUGGCUGUGACUCUGAGCAGGUCGUCCAGCCUCCUGGACCUGAGCUCCUCACCUGCGAGAUGGCAAAGGCCUGCCCCGUAGCAUCAUCAGAGGAGACACAGCGUGUGACGAUGCAAAUCACCUCAGAGAGAGGCCAAGUGGUGGCCACGUGAACACAUCGACCCCACAAAGGAAACAGGAGCUCAUGAGGCGGGGUGGGGGGGACCCGGGCUGCCUGUCCAAACGGCAUGGGAAGUCCCUGACGAGGGCGGCCCUGGAGAGUGGGCCCCCACAGUCGAAGAAGAGGCCUUAGACAGGGAAGGUGAGGGGAUAGGGGCUUCCAAGGAGAGAGGUUGCAGUGCUGGAGGAUCAAAGAGGCCUUAGGAAGAUUGUGAGGCCCUGGAAGAUGCCUGCUGAAAUGCUUGUGUAGGUCAGAAAACCGUGUCACCAAUACCCAGUCAACACGGGAUUCAUUUUUUGUGGUUCCAAGAAUCGGCACAUACUUGUGAUUAUAACCCACAUAUUGGAUAUGUAUUGGGAUAUAUUUAUUUUUCAUAACUUUUGAUUAUUUUAUGUUUCUAGACAAAGCGCCACGCACACAUUUUCUCCGUUCUUUCUUUGCAAUACUGGGCUCUGUUUUUAAGGAGCAGAUUCCUGGCGCUCCUCACCUGUGCUAGCCCCAGGGACCGCCGCCUUUCGUGUCACACAGUGGACGUGAGCUCCACGCAGGCAGGGACCAUGGCGGGUCACGCUCGCUGAUGAAGCUACGGGGCUGGCAGAAUGAGUGAGGCUGAGCCUCCCUCUCCUGUGACCUGCUGUCAUCCUGGAUCUUCUUCAGCUCCUCAGAUAGCAGUGAAUAUUCCUGGGAGCAGGGCAGCAGGAGGGCGCCUGAGUGCCGGGACCCUGUUUUCUGGAGGACCGCCGUGACAGCCUGGCAGGGCACAGAAGGGCAGAUCUCUAAGCCUCAGGGUCCUGUUGGUGAGAUGAGGACAGCACCGGCCCCCCCGUGGUCUGUUGGAGGAGUCAGUGAUAACUUGCAUGGGGAGCAGAGGCCUGGCCAAAGGUGGAGGUGCCCAGUGACGGGGCUCCUUCCCCCGAUGGGCGGCCAAGCUGAGCUUCCCUGCGCUCCUGGGACGCACCCUCCCCACCUCGUCUCUCCGCUCCCCAGAUAGAGGGUACCUCAGCUCCCAGGGGCCACCUGCGCAGGGCGGUUUGGUGAUGUGAUGGGCGGUGUCGUUGGUGAGGAUGGUGACUUUGUGGGUUUGAUCCCGGGGCUCCGAGUGUCAUCUCAGUGACCUCGUCUUCAUGCCUCCACGUAAGGUCAGCUGCUGCCCCCAUUUCACAGGCUCAAAGCGGACACGGAGACCUUGGCUGUCAGAGACCGCGACAUACACCGUAGCAUCGUGUUUAUGUUGUGACCCAGAACCUUCCCUCUUGGGACCUGUGCUAAAGAAAUAAAGGUUUAUGGACGCAGACGUUGCCUUCAGCAGGACGAUGGGAGUGAGAAGCUGGAAGGGCCUGCGUCCCACAGAGGGACUCUUGGGAAAUUCUGACAGGGACACAGAAGAAGAAGAGGAUUGACUGACAGUGUCGCCCCUGGGGAAGUCAGGUUCCAGAAGAGCACACGCCCUGGAAUCCUCCUUACCUGAUACCCACCCCUGCACAUGCACACAUGGGCACACUGGCGUAUACAUGUGCACACACGCACGCACACACGUGAACAGGCAUCAGACCCACAUAUGCUCAUGCACACAGGGCACAGGCAGACACACACUCACUUGCACAUGUACACACUUGCACAUGCACACACGUGCACACAAAGGGAAAGGACUGGAAUGGUGAACACCGCCUGUUAAGGGCACUCCUGAGUUUCCACUUAAUUCUUAAUUCCUG